GACAGGGUGGUGUAGUGGCUAGAAUACUCUGCUUAAAUCGAGGAGAUAUGAGUUCAAAUCCCUACUUAGCCA